AAGGAAGGAAGGAAGGAAGGAUGGAUGAGUAGCAGGCUAAAGAAUUGGGAAAAGAGGAACCUGGGCCCUCUGGUAUGGAUAGGCUACCUCAUAGGGCUCAUACUGCCCUCCUGAUCUGGGGACCUGCAAUACAGUUCUGCUUCACAUUUGAAUUGUGAAGAACAUUUCCAACUCUCUUUAAAUAAAAUACAAAGUCACUCCAAAGAACAUUUUCCUCAUCUGGGCCAUGUCUCACGCCAUUAAUGUAAAACUGCUGAUUUAAUGGAGCUGUUUUUGAUCUAUUAAGAAAAGACACACCUAAUUUAAUUUCGCUAUUUUUCCAAGAAUAAGUGUCUUAAUUUGCAGAAGGAUUUGAUUAUAAUUUUAAGUAAUAUUGCAGUUGUACUUUUAGUCAUGAAGAUGAUAUUGAGUGCCUUUAUGGGGCUCAAAUGUGGAAAGUCCCAGAGAAUUGUAUGAGUUGGGAAUUUUAUCUUUAACAACAUUCAGGGCCAUUUCUGUUUGUAAUGUGACAAAUAUUUUUUAGAAUGAACAGGAUCUCUGAUAGGGAAUUUUGCAUUAAAAAAAAAAGAAAGAAAGAAAGAAAAGCAGGCAGUUUUCCCUUCAAGUGUGAAGUGGAAUAAUCCCAGAAUAUAAAAACAUGUAAAACUGAGAUACAGACACCCAUCACUUUUAUCUGUACAUUUUCUUUUUAAAACAUGUGUUAUCAUGAGAGAAUUUCUAAUACUGAUCUUUGUUCCCACUGGGUCAGCUUUGUUUCUUCAUUUCCUUCUGAAUUACUCUGAAAAAAUGGAAAAUUUCUAGAUACUCCAAUGUACCUACUGAAAUAUAUUAUAGAUAUUGAAUGUGUUAUCCAAAUGUUAGACUCAAAUGGGAUUGAAUUUCCAUUCUGCACCUGAUGACAUAUAUUCUCCAAUUAUGAGAGAAAACAAACAAACAAAAAUUUCCUUCUUCCCUCUGUCAGUCUACCCGGAGCCAGAUUUAGCCAUAUCUCAUGGAGAAAAUUGCUUUCCUAUAACUGACAACCUGUAGGGUCAUUGGUGUGACCCUGUCUGGUGUCAGGUUGAAAGCCAUGGGAGAUACCACAGCAGGUGAAUGGGAACAACACCAGCAGUAUGAGGGACACACAUGGUCACCCCACAGUGGCCACUGCCAGAUACAGGGUGCCAGGCCCUGGGAGGAUGGGGACGCCAGCAUAUGGGUGAGCCUGCCAGGGUUGGGAGGUAAUUUUAAUGAAGGAAUGAGUGACAGAUAGAAAGAGGCAUCUGCAUUGCCAAGUGCAAGGACGGCCCAACCUGGGGUACUCUUGCUGCAGAAGUCUUACCCUGCAGACAGGGGAAUUGCACCGGUGGGAUUUAGUAAAAAAAAAAAAAAAAAAA